rnacentral:rRNA from 1 species
UCCUACGGGAGGCAGCAGUAGGGAAUCUUCCGCAAUGGACGAAAGUCUGACGGAGCAACGCCGCGUGAGUGAUGAAGGCUUUCGGGUCGUAAAACUCUGUUGUUAGGGAAGAACAAGUGCUAGUUGAAUAAGCUGGCACCUUGACGGUACCUAACCAGAAAGCCACGGCUAACUACGUGCCAGCAGCCGCGGUAAUACGUAGGUGGCAAGCGUUAUCCGGAAUUAUUGGGCGUAAAGCGCGCGCAGGUGGUUUCUUAAGUCUGAUGUGAAAGCCCACGGCUCAACCGUGGAGGGUCAUUGGAAACUGGGAGGCUUGAGUGCAGAAGAGGAAAGUGGAAUUCCAUGUGUAGCGGUGAAAUGCGUAGAGAUAUGGAGGAACACCAGUGGCGAAGGCGACUUUCUGGUCUGUAACUGACACUGAGGCGCGAAAGCGUGGGGAGCAAACAGGAUUAGAUACCCUGGUAGUCCACGCCGUAAACGAUGAGUGCUAAGUGUUAGAGGGUUUCCGCCCUUUAGUGCUGAAGUUAACGCAUUAAGCACUCCGCCUGGGGAGUACGGCCGCAAGGCUGAAACUCAAAGGAAUUGACGGA